rnacentral:rRNA from 2 species
AUAAACUAUGCCUGCCAGCGAUCCGCCGAAGUUCCUCCGAUGACUCGGCGGGCAGCUUCCGGGAAACCAGAGCUUUUGGGUUCCGGGGGAAGUAUGGUUGCAAAGCUGAAACUUAAAGGAAUUGACGGAAGGGCACCACCAGGAGUGGAGCCUGCGGCUUAAUUUGACUCAACACGGGAAAACUCACCAGGCCCGGACACCGGAAGGAUUGACAGAUUGAGAGCUCUUUCUUGAUUCGGUGGGUGGUGGUGCAUGGCCGUUCUUAGUUGGUGGAGCGAUUUGUCUGGUUAAUUCCGAUAACGAACGAGACUCUAGCCUGCUAACUAGGCGUACCCGGUAUCCACAAUCGUGCUACCGGCGAUCAUAUUUCUUCUUAGAGGGACAGGCGGCUUCUAGCCGCACGAGACUGAGCAAUAACAGGUCUGUGAUGCCCUUAGAUGUCCUGGGCCGCACGCGCGCUACACUGAAGGAAUCAGCGUGUCUUCCCUGUCCGAAAGGACCGGGUAACCCGCUGAACCUCCUUUGUGCUAGGGAUUGGGGCUUGCAAUUGUUCCCCAUGAACGAGGAAUUCCCAGUAAGCGCGAGUCAUAAGCUCGCGUUGAUUACGUCCCUGCCCUUUGUACACACCGCCCGUCGCUACUACCGAUUGAAUGAUUUAGUGAGGUCUUCGGACUGGUGCGCGGAGGCCGCUCGCGCGGUCCCCGAUGUUGCCGGAAAGAUGACCAAACUUGAUCAUUUAGAGGAAGUAAAAGUCGUAACAAGGUUU